UACGGGGGGAGCAAGCGUUGUUCGGAUUUACUGGGCGUAAAGGGCGCGUAGGCGGCCACCGCAAGUCGACUGUGAAAUCUCUGGGCUUAACCCAGAAAGGUCAGCCGAUACUGCGGGGCUAGAGUGCAGAAGGGGCAACUGGAAUUCUCGGUGUAGCGGUGAAAUGCGUAGAUAUUGGGAAGAACACCUGAGGCGAAGGCGGGUUGCUGGGCUGAUACUGACGCUGAGGCGCGAAAGCGUGGGGAGCGAACAGG
rnacentral:rRNA from 1 species